rnacentral:rRNA from 1 species
GCAUCGAUGAAGAACGCAGCAAAGUGCGAUAACUCAGGUGAACUGCAUAUAGCGUGAAUCUUCGAAUCUUUGAACGCAAAUUGUGCCCCGGUUACACAUCGGGGCGUGUCUGUUUGAGCGCCAAAUUAAACCAACCGUUACUCUUCGUAGCGAUCUUGGGCUUUGAAUGUUUACUCGUUCACCGCCUUAAAUUAUAACUGUGAUUUUACUACGCUGAUGUAGCACGAUCCGAACUGCCCAUAAAGUUAAUUCCUACACGCAAUAGGAUGAAGUUACGGAACGUAGUAAGCAACAAUCACCAAACAACAAAACUAUAAUUAAACUCUUGGCAUCAAAUCAGGCACGAUUACCCGCUGAAUUUAAGCAUAUCAAUAAGCGGAGGA